GAUGAACGCUAGCUACAGGCUUAACACAUGCAAGUCGAGGGGAAACGACAUCGAAAGCUUGCUUUUGAUGGGCGUCGACCGGCGCACGGGUGAGUAACGCGUAUCCAACCUGCCCACCACUUGGGGAUAACCUUGCGAAAGUAAGACUAAUACCCAAUGAUAUCUCUAGAAGACAUCUGAAAGAGAUUAAAGAUUUAUCGGUGAUGGAUGGGGAUGCGUCUGAUUAGCUUGUUGGCGGGGUAACGGCCCACCAAGGCAACGAUCAGUAGGGGUUCUGAGAGGAAGGUCCCCCACAUUGGAACUGAGACACGGUCCAAACUCCUACGGGAGGCAGCAGUGAGGAAUAUUGGUCAAUGGACGAGAGUCUGAACCAGCCAAGUAGCGUGCAGGAGGACGGCCCUAUGGGUUGUAAACUGCUUUUAUAAGGGAAUAAAGUGAGUCUCGUGAGACUUUUUGCAUGUACCUUAUGAAUAAGGACCGGCUAAUUCCGUG
rnacentral:rRNA from 1 species